rnacentral:lncRNA from 13 species
AGCCUGGACCCCGACCCCGGCCACGGUCCCUCGCGCUAGGAACAGCCCCGUCCCCAUCCCCUUUCCCGACCUCCGCCCGCGCGCUCGGGACCGCCCCUUCCCCUUCCCCGACCUCGGCCCGCGCGCAAGUAACGGCCUGGACGGCCUUGGAGAGCGUCGCAGUGCGGUCACCCGCGUCGGCGCCCGGCCGGGGAUGGGGAGAGGGAACUACCAGGACGAAGGUCACGGGGGCCCGAGGGUUCCCCGCGCCGGCGACCGGAGGCGGGGGUCGUGCUCCCGGCCGAACACUCCCCGGGCCGGCGACAACCGCGGCCACCGCUUACCAUGGUGCCGGCCAGGCCUGGCGCGGCCAGAGCCCCACACAGCAGCGCCGGCUUCAGCAAGCGGCACAGGCGACCGAGGCUCAUCGCGGCGGGACUGGGAGCCAGCGGCUCCUCCCCUCGCCCAGCCGACCAAUGGCCGCGCGCCGGCACCACGCGCUUCCCCGCCCGCGGCCACGCCCUCCAGAGCUCUCAUUGGUCAGCCGCGUCGGGUUUGAGCGCUCGCGCCGACACUACCCAAUGGGAGGCCGGGAUGGGAGGAAGGCGGGGAAUGGGGCGGGACCGGACGUACGGGCUGACUGUUGUCGGCGACUGCGCAUGCUCGCUUGCGACCCGGAGGCGGUGUCCAUGCAGGGGGCACGACGGGCGUGUUGCUCUGUCGCCCAAGCUGGAGUGCGGUGGCACAAUCACAGCUCACUGCAGCCUCGACCUCCUUGGGGUAAGCCACCUUAGAUCUUCCCACCACAGCGUCCUGAGUAACUGGGACUACAGGUGCGCCCCACCACGCCCAGUUAAUUCUUAAAUUUUUUUGUGGAAAUGGGGUCUUCCAGCUGGGUGUGGUGGCUUACACCUGUAAUGCCCACACUUUGGAAGUCUGAGGAGGGUGGAUCACAAAGUCAGGAGUUCAAGACUAGCCAGGCCAACAUGGUGAAACCCCGUCUCUACUAAAAAUACAAAAAAUUAGCUGGGCAUGGUGCUGCGUGCCUGUAAUCCCAGGUACUCGGGAGGCUGAGGCAGGAGAAUUGCCUGAACCCAGGAGGCGGAGGUUGCGGUGAGCCGACAUCGCGCCAUUGCACUCCAGCCUGGGUAACAAGAGCGAAACUCUGUCUCAAAAAAUAAAAAUAAAAAAACAAAAUAGCUGUGAAUGUGG